rnacentral:tRNA from 1 species
GCAGGUAUAGCCCAGCAGUAGAGUGCAUGCUUAGCAUGCAUGAAGUCCUGGGUUCAAUCCCCAGUACCUCCA